AUUGAACGCUGGCGGCAGGCCUAACACAUGCAAGUCGAACGGUAACAGGAAACAGCUUGCUGUUUCGCUGACGAGUGGCGGACGGGUGAGUAAUGUCUGGGAAACUGCCUGAUGGAGGGGGAUAACUACUGGAAACGGUAGCUAAUACCGCAUAACGUCGCAAGACCAAAGAGGGGGACCUUCGGGCCUCUUGCCAUCGGAUGUGCCCAGAUGGGAUUAGCUAGUAGGUGGGGUAACGGCUCACCUAGGCGACGAUCCCUAGCUGGUCUGAGAGGAUGACCAGCCAAACUGGAACUGAGACACGGUCCAGACUCCUACGGGAGGGAGCAGUGGGGAAUAUUGCACAAUGGGCGCAAGCCUGAUGCAGCCAUGCCGCGUGUAUGAAGAAGGCCUUCGGGUUGUAAAGUACUUUCAGCGGGGAGGAAGGGAGUAAAGUCAAUACCUUUGCUCAUUGACGUUACCCGCAGAAGAAGCACCGGCUAACUCCGUGCCAGCCGCCGCCGUAA
rnacentral:rRNA from 1 species